GCUGGGCGUGGUGGUGUGUGCCUGUAAUCCUAGCUACUCAGGAGGCUGAGGCAGGAGAAUCACUUGAACCCAGGAGGUGGAGGUUGCAGUGAGCCGAGAUUGUGCCACUGCACUCCAGCCUAGGUGACAGAGUGAGACUCUGUCUCAA
rnacentral:SRP_RNA from 1 species